rnacentral:RNase_MRP_RNA from 2 species
UUGUCACUGGACGAAGUGAAUGGGUCAUAUGGGCUUGUCCAAGUUCCGACCCAGGAAAGUCCCCGGGCCACUUAUCCGCAGAGAUGCGCCUCGGUAACGAGAGAAUCUUGCGGUGGAGAGAUUCAAAUUGCUGAGACGCGUGUGUGGAGCUUAUGUGGUCUCUCCGCCGAUGAUAUCAUGGCCGUUCGACAGUUAUUCACCUCUUCCUCUAUGGACUAACUGAACGGGGCUUACGUUUCAAUGACA